CACACACACACACACACACACACACAGGUGCAGACACAUUCACCCGACACACACACACACACACACACACAGGUGCAGACACAUUCACCCGACGCACACACGCACACACACACACUAAACACGAUAGGCAAAAUAUGACAUUCAGUUAACCCACAAGAGUCAAUGUAGCUCAAAAGACCUGUUGUGUACAUGUCCGUAAAGAAUGUCAAUGUCAUUUCUCUCAGUCUGAUCUGAGUAUGUUUGACUGGACGGUGAAUUUAAAUAAGAAUGGCUGCUGCUUACAGUGAAGAAAAUGACUGGUCCUAAGAUGAGUGUAAUGUAGUCAUAUCACUCUGAAAUUACCUUAUCAUCAAAGCAACUGAGCGAGAGAGAGAGAGACAGACGGACAUAAGAGAGUCUUAAAUAUUGUUUUGGAACCUAAUAUCACCGUUUUUGAUGAAAAAAGAGAGACAGACAAACAGCAGUGGAAAGAAAGGGGGAGGAAGAUGGGCAAGUUUAUGGUUUUAAGCGGCACAGUGGUUCAGAGUGAACUAGGGGGGUCGUCAUAGAGAGAGAGAUAGGAAUCUUGAAAUGGCAGUUUACCUUAUGACUCAUCUUUUGAAUAAUACUCUGACACACUGUGAUCCCCAGUUCAGUCACACAGUCAGAGGGUCCAGAGUCACAUCUAUCUCAUUCUCUCAUCCUAUCUGAGACACGGUAAGUCAGACUCUACACUUCCCUACUGAAACACGUUUUGUUCAGGUCUGUCGUUAGAGUCCUGGGCUUGCUUGAUGUAUCUAUAAUGGUAUACAGUCAGACUCUACACUUCCCUACUGAAACACGGUUUGUUCAGGUCUGUCGUUAGAGUCCUGGUCUUGCUUGAUGUAUCUAUAAUGGUAUACAGUCAGACUCUACACUUCCCUACUGAAACACGGUUUGUUCAGGUCUGUCGUUAGAGUCCUGGGCUUGCUUGAUGUAUCUAUAAUGGUAUACAGUCAGACUCUACACUUCCCUACUGAAACACGGUUUGUUCAGGUCUGUCGUUAGAGUCCUGGGCUUGCUUGAUGUAUCUAUAAUGGUAUACAGUUGGACGUGUUUAUGUCAUCGCUUCGUUUUUCACUGUCAGCAUGUAGGUGUUUUGUCUGGAGUCUGUAUCAUGUUUUCUACUUUAGGUGGUCUCCCGUUUCUCAUGUCCUUGAAACUGUCUCUUACAGCUACUGUUUGGGCCUACGAUAAUGUCCUGCCAUUGCAAUACUUUAUGUCUUGAUAAGAUAUUGUUGGAUGAUAUCUUUAUGACUGAAG
ensembl:lncRNA